rnacentral:rRNA from 1 species
GAGUGGCGAACUGGUGAGUAACACGUGGGAAACCUGCCCAGAAGCGGGGGAUAACACCUGGAAACAGAUGCUAAUACCGCAUAACAACUUGGACCGCAUGGUCCGAGUUUGAAAGAUGGCUUCGGCUAUCACUUUUGGAUGGUCCCGCGGCGUAUUAGCUAGAUGGUGGGGUAACGGCUCACCAUGGCAAUGAUACGUAGCCGACCUGAGAGGGUAAUCGGCCACAUUGGGACUGAGACACGGCCCAAACUCCUACGGGAGGCAGCAGUAGGGAAUCUUCCACAAUGGACGAAAGUCUGAUGGAGCAACGCCGCGUGAGUGAAGAAGGGUUUCGGCUCGUAAAACUCUGUUGUUAAAGAAGAACAUAUCUGAGAGUAACUGUUCAGGUAUUGACGGUAUUUAACCAGAAAGCCACGGCUAACUACGUGCCAGCAGCCGCGGUAAUACGUAGGUGGCAAGCGUUGUCCGGAUUUAUUGGGCGUAAAGCGAGCGCAGGCGGUUUUUUAAGUCUGAUGUGAAAGCCUUUCGGCUCAACCGAAGAAGUGCAUCGGAAACUGGGAAACUUGAGUGCAGAAGAGGACAGUGGAACUCCAUGUGUAGCGGUGAAAUGCGUAGAUAUAUGGAAGAACACCAGUGGCGAAGGCGGCUGUCUGGUCUGUAACUGACGCUGAGGCUCGAAAGUAUGGGUAGCAAACAGGAUUAGAUACCCUGGUAGUCCAUACCGUAAACGAUGAAUGCUAAGUGUUGGAGGGUUUCCGCCCUUCAGUGCUGCAGCUAACGCAUUAAGCAUUCCGCCUGGGGAGUACGGCCGCAAGGCUGAAACUCAAAGGAAUUGACGGGGGCCCGCACAAGCGGUGGAGCAUGUGGUUUAAUUCGAAGCUACGCGAAGAACCUUACCAGGUCUUGACAUACUAUGCAAAUCUAAGAGAUUAGACGUUCCCUUCGGGGACAUGGAUACAGGUGGUGCAUGGUUGUCGUCAGCUCGUGUCGUGAGAUGUUGGGUUAAGUCCCGCAACGAGCGCAACCCUUAUUAUCAGUUGCCAGCAUUAAGUUGGGCACUCUGGUGAGACUGCCGGUGACAAACCGGAGGAAGGUGGGGAUGACGUCAAAUCAUCAUGCCCCUUAUGACCUGGGCUACACACGUGCUACAAUGGAUGGUACAACGAGUUGCGAACUCGCGAGAGUAAGCUAAUCUCUUAAAGCCAUUCUCAGUUCGGAUUGUAGGCUGCAACUCGCCUACAUGAAGUCGGAAUCGCUAGUAAUCGCGGAUCAGCAUGCCGCGGUGAAUACGUUCCCGGGCCUUGUACACACCGCCCGUCACACCAUGAGAGUUUGUAACACCCAAAGUCGGUG